ACUUAGAAAGACAAAUGCUGGUAUAUUUAUUAUACUUGAGGAAAGUCCGUGCUUACAUAGACCUGAAAUGGCUAUAGGGUUCGUUGCUAAGGCUAAUAACCUUAGGCAGUUUUUAACUGACGGCGUCGAGAUGACCUGUUAAAUGGUUAUAUUAGACAUAAAGUGCCAAAGAGACGAGUUACUUUAGAAAUAAAGUAGGUGGAACGUGGUAAACCCCGCGAGUAAGAAAUCCAAAUUUGGUAGGAGAGUUUCUACAAAGGAAAUAAACGGAGUAGAAAAGUUUAUACAUAAUAGUAUAGAUUAGAUAAAUAUUUGUCACUAGCAUGCUAGUACAGAACACGGCUUACUA
rfam:Mycoplasma sp. CAG:956 genomic scaffold, scf94